CAGGGAGACAACAAUUGAUUGUGAUGUUUGAGUUAUUUAUUCUUAGACCACGAUCCUGUCACCUUAGGUCGAUCGGUACCUCAGGUUGAUAUCCAUAGAAAACAGAAUUCUUCUAAUUUCUUGGUUAUUGAUUUUAGUUCCUAAACUUUGUCUAGGUCACACCCAACAAGGGUACUCCUGGGCCAUUAGCUCAGGUGGUUAGAGCGCACCCCUGAUAAGGGUGAGGUCCCUGGUUCAAGUCCAGGAUGGCCCAUUCGAUGUUGGGGGUAUAGCUCAGUUGGUAGAGCGCCUGCUUUGCAAGCAGGAUGUCAGCGGUUCGAGUCCGCUUACCUCCACUGAUCGACCUCCUGAUAACGAACUUAAGGAGAUUGACUUUUGUUAGAUGUGACUUGGAAUUUUUAACUGAAAAGGGAACCUAGCUUCCUGUCAUUCCUAAAACAAAAUAAAUUGCUUUAGGUUGAUAUGACGCUGGGCUCAUUGAAAUUCUAAUUAAUUUCAAUCCAGUUCAGUAGAACCUUGACAACUGCAUAGGUAAGUCUGGAAAGAAUUAAAAGCAUCUCAUAGAUGCAUUGAUUUUUAUUCCUUUAUUUAACUUUUAAAGUGAUUAAAAGAUUGGUGCAAUUCUAGAGCAAGAGCCGAGACUCUAUAACUUCUUAAGUUUAGGAAGAUAUAGAGAUUUAAU
rnacentral:tRNA from 1 species